GCGACAAGACCUGGAGAUAUCAGAAGUGAGAAUGCUGACAUGAGUAGCGACAAAGAGUGUGAGAGACACUCUCGCCGAAAGUCCAAGGGUUCCUGCUUAAAGCUAAUCUGAGCAGGGUAAGCCGACCCCUAAGGCGAGGCCGAAAGGCGUAGUCGAUGGGAACCAGGUUAAUAUUCCUGGGCCAGUGGGAUGUGACGGAUCGUGACUGUUGUUCACCCUUAUUGGAUUGGGUGGGCCGCUAAUCGGUUCCUGGAAAUAGCCCCACACCAGACCGUACCCUAAACCGACACAGGUGGACUGGUAGAGAAUACCAAGGCGCUUGAGAGAACUCGGGUGAAGGAACUAGGC
rnacentral:rRNA from 1 species